UACGAAGGGGGCUAGCGUUGCUCGGAAUUACUGGGCGUAAAGGGAGCGUAGGCGGGUUGACAAGUUGGAGGUGAAAGCCCAGGGCUCAACCCUGGAAUUGCCUUCAAAACUGUCAGCCUUGAGUAUGGAAGAGGUAAGUGGAACUCCGAGUGUAGAGGUGAAAUUCGUAGAUAUUCGGAAGAACACCAGUGGCGAAGGCGACUUACUGGUCCAUGACUGACGCUGAGGCUCGAAAGCGUUGGGAGCAAACAGG
rnacentral:rRNA from 1 species